GGAGAGAUGUCCGAGUGGUCUAUGGUACCUGACUCGAAAUCAGGCGUACGGUUCUAAGCCGUACCAGGAGUUCAAAUCUCCUUCUCUCCGCCA
rnacentral:tRNA from 1 species